rnacentral:rRNA from 1 species
UACGUAGGGGGCUAGCGUUGUCCGGAAUCAUUGGGCGUAAAGCGCGUGUAGGCGGUCCGGUAAGUCCGCUGUGAAAGUCGAGGGCUCAACCCUCGAAUGCCGGUGGAUACUGUCGGGCUAGAGUACGGAAGAGGCGAGUGGAAUUCCUGGUGUAGCGGUGAAAUGCGCAGAUAUCAGGAGGAACACCAAUUGCGAAGGCAGCUCGCUGGGACGUUACUGACGCUGAGAAGCGAAAGCAUGGGGAGCGAACAGG